AACUGGUCCAGUCCAGUGGUGUUUGCAGCUAAUCACAGUUACAGACGUCUUUGUUCCUUUCCCAUGCCCACUGCUUCACUGACCAGCCUAAU
rnacentral:Y_RNA from 1 species